AUCUCCACCAAUUAAAAGUUCGCGUAGUGACGCCAUGAUGAGGGGCAUCAGUCAGAUAUCGAAAAUCGGACCGAUAAGACGUAUUGUUUUGCUCAUGGUACAUAACGUAACCUAAAGUAACUUAUUAAAUAUUUAAGUGUUACUUCCUUUGUUAUUUCGUUACGAGUGUAUUUUAUUAUAUAUUAAUACGCUUCAUUAAAACGCGUUUAUUUGCUACUUUAUGGAACAUUAUUAUAAAAAAGUCAGUCACUCGACCUUUUUUCGUUCUUCGGUCAUAGAUCGUUUAUUUGGAGGUCAGAAUUCUACUUUCGAGACAAGAUUCGAAUGAGAUUAUUAUUUUAUAUUAAUGUAAUUGGUAUCGACAUUCGUCUUCAAUUCUUGAUUUUCUUGCAUAAAGAUUAUUGCUGACAUGGAUGAUAUAAGGACUUAAUGUAAGAACGUUAUGGUGAUUAACAGCCUGAUGCUUUUUCAUGGAGGUUUAAUAAUGUUAAAUUUAUUUUAAUAUAUUCAGAUAUACGUUUUCAUGCAUACAUACAUACAUAUGUCUGUCAAAUCAGUCACACAUCACACAAUCACUUAAUAUGUAAGAUAACUAAUUAUCAUAAAUAAUUACAUAGUUUAUUAAAAAUACCAAGAUGAAGUUAGAAAAGAUUCCAGGAACGUUUCUUUGCAUUAAUUUUAGUGUUAAUAUUAAUUAAUUAUCAUUAAUUCAUUUCCUUAUAUUAAGUAGAUUAAACGUAUUAUUUUAUUGUUCCAACUUAUAUUGUGGAAUUUUUAAUAUGUAAUUUGAAAAUGACUCGACUAAGAAAUUGAAAUAACCUUCACAUUUCCAUUUACGUUUCGGUGACGUUUUGGUUGUAAAUUACCUAGUAACAUGGUACGUAAAUAUUAUACAUAACCUUUUUCUGCCAUGGUUGGGAGGAAGCGCGAUAACAUGGAUUUCGAAAUAAGGUUAGACGCGAGUUUGUGUGAUGUCAAUAUGCUCAAGCAUAUUUAGUUCAGGAAUUUUUAGUGUUUUACAAGUAUUUUCGCAUAUCUAUAAAACAUUACGUAGUUUAUUCUUACAAAAUGUGCUUUUCUUUGGCAAGGAACAUUCACGAUAUAAUUUUUGCAAAUCAGUUCAAUUAUAUUUAUUAAAUCUAACCCCUAUCGACUAUUUUAGUUUUAUUUUCAGAAAAUUUUUGUGAUCACUCGCAAUGCGAUCAGUAGAGUCAGUGCUUCUUGCGCAAUAAGUUCUUAAAUAUUUUUCAGAGUGCAAUAGCUCAAUUAAAUUAUAUAAUUAUUAAUUAUAAUGAUAACACGCGAUAUUAAAGUCUUUGUUCGUCGAUUACAAAGUAAACCGAACGGACGAGCUUGUAGUCUUUUAUUUUUCUUUUUUUUUUUUUCAUACAUAUCUUUUUUUGAUAUUCGUUUUCGGUAUUAGAGUCAGUGUUUUCUCAAGAGGAUAAAAUCUCUCGAAGAUACAAGAAUAUAGGCCCCGGCUAGCCGCCCGACACCUGUUGAAACGCGUGCACCGCGUUCUCCUGUUGUUAGCCAAUAUCACAGAAACAAAUUGCUAGGCGUUGGGUCUACACGAGCAAUGCCUGUGUGGCGUACCUUGGCGAAGAUUGAUACAACGUUGGAUGGAAACGUUGGCGACUCUUGCGCGCCAACGUUAAUCCGCGUGGGUGGUUUCAUGAAAGAGGAACACUCUAACUGCGAAGAUCAGAAGCGUAAUCGGUGGUGGAGUCCACGCACGACGCAAAAAGGGAACUUUUUUGCCGCGGCCAGGGCACGCCAACUCCGUCGCAAUUUCCAUUCCCAGCAAAUGAUCCGUGGCAAGAAAUCUCUGUUGAUCUCUCUGGAGCCGGCGGAUAAAGAAAUUAAAAAGUUUGCUCGUAAUCUGGGAAAGCAAGAAGAAUGGACGGAAGACGGAAGAAGGAGGGUUUCUACGUGGACCAAGGAGAAGUGGACAUGACCGAAGAUUGCCACACAGGAGGCUGCGUAGAUAAGGGC